GAAGUUGAUAGAACAAGUUGUCAAAGUACACACUUCAGGAAAUCAAGAGGGCAGGAUAACAUGGUGUCUCAAGUAUAUUUUGGUGUUAUAUAAAAUCUGCUGUCUUUGGCAGGCAGUAUCCUUAGGAAACAAGUAUGUUGAAUUAUUGAAGAUAGUUUUGUGCAUCUUUCUUUUUUAUUCAUUAGUGGAGUCUAAUAUCAUGAAUUUUGUGUGUGAAAAUUUUUAUUUAGUGCCAUCUUGUCUAGUCUAUUGGCUGAAGUAACAAUAAGUCACAGGAAGAAUUCUAAAAGGAGUUUUCCCUUCUUCUAUUUAUUUUCUAAUUUCAAAUGGAACCAUGUAGAACUCUUAUGCUCUUCACAAAUUAUUCUAAAUCUGGUAUCAUAUGCAGUGUGGAACAUAUCAGAGCCAUUGUCUGGUUGCCUGCUACCAUCUCAUUGGUCCUUGUGGUUAAUUUCAUAUGAUAUUAAAAUAUGAAAAGGAUACAAAUUGAAAUGUAGAAAUUUAUGCCUAAUAUGCCCAAUUGUGUAAUAUAUUCCAUCAUUUUCCCAUUAGGGCUCCUUUCAUGUUUAUUGGAAUAUUUCUCUAGAAACUUCUAUUCUGGGUUAAAU
rnacentral:misc_RNA from 1 species